rnacentral:piRNA from 1 species
UUUGCGAUCUGCCUCUAUGCUUG